AAAGGUAUGUUUUAAAUUAUAUCAGUGACUACUGAACUAAACAAGGUAGUCCUAUCUCAUCAUGGCAAAUUUUCUUUUGGCACGAAUAAUUUAAACCCAAGAUCCUUUUUCUUGUGAAUCAUCUCAUAAAACAUUCUUGGCCUUUUUAUGUCAUUCACAUCGGUUUUAUUCUUUGUUUAUAUAUAGUUUAUAUUUGUGUACUUUUCCAGAUAUAUCCACCACCAAAGACUAUUUUAAAAUUAUGUUCAACGAAAUGAAACUAUUAGUUUUCUUUUCUAGAAAUCAAAUGGACAAUAUAUGAAGUUGCAAGACUUCACAAGCCAAGUUGUGGAGUGCAACAAGAGAAGUUAGAUUACAUUUGUCGACGAAGCAUUUUAAUAAAUGCGCGGAGACCAAGAGGGACAUAUACAUUUUCUAAUGAAGUAAUUAAGGAAUCAUUGUCGAAGGGAUUUACUGGCGACAGCAUAAUGAAGGCAGCAAUAAGGUUCUUCGUAGAUUUUGGUGCUUACCCAGAGACUGGCGACAUGAUAGAAUAUAUGAUAUGUUGAUAGUGCGGGGACUUAGAAGUCAAAAAUGAAAAUUUAGACAACUACAAUGUUGCUGUAUUACUAUAAACGUAUAAUUUUGCAGAGAACAUAGUCUUUUUUAUAUACUACAGGAAGGUUUGGAAUAAUCGAAAAUGAAUACAUGUUUUGAUAUAAAAAAAAAUACCAUACUUUUUAAAAUCAAUUUGCUUUCAUGAACUUAAAGUAUUUCCAACUGUUUUUCUUCUUUAAUUUUUUCCAAAAUGUUUAAAAACAUGUCUUUUUGUUUGUAAAUGGCAAUUACUCUCUAAUCAAACGGGUAUUAUUUGUUAUUCUCACUCAUGUACGUAUCAUGUUAUUUUGAAUGCCAUAAUUUAGUGCUUACUUGUUAAUAUUACAAUUUGUUACAAGACUUCAAGACUUAAUACAUUCUAACUGAUCAUAAUUUUGUGAAUACAAUUAUUGGUAUGUUUUACCUAUCUUCUUAUUGUAAUACCAAUGUUAAUAUGUAAGAGGUUCACCAAAGUCCUAAAUUAAAGUUUGAUGUGAUGCAUUUUGUGUUUUCUAAAAUCACAAAACAUAGUCAAAGCUAGAUGAAAAAUUAGAUGAUUGUGUUUAGAUUGUUAGUAAGAAAAUAAAUGAAAAUGUAAAAUACAA